rnacentral:lncRNA from 10 species
AACGGCCUGGCAACGGUUUCCCUGCUGCUGCAGCCCCCGUCGGCUCCUCUUUUCCAGUCCUCCACUGCCGGGGCUGGGCCCGGCCGCGGGAAGGACCGAAGGGGAUACAGCGUGUCCCUGCGGCGGCUGCAAGAGGACUAAGCAUGGAUGGCAGCCGGAGAGUCAGAGCAACCUCUGUCCUUCCCAGAUAUGGUCCACCGUGCCUAUUUAAAGGACACUUGAGCACCAAAAGUAAUGCUUUUUGCACUGACUCCUCUUCUCUCAGACUAAGCACUCUCCAGCUGGUCAAGAAUCACAUGGCUGUUCACUAUAAUAAAAUCCUUUCAGCCAAAGCUGCAGUAGACUGCUCGGUUCCAGUAAGCGUGAGUACCAGCAUAAAGUGUCUGCCGUAGUUUGCUGGAGGUCCACUCCAGACCCUGUUUGCCUAGGUAUCACCAGCGGAGGCUGCAGAACAGCAAAGAUUGCUGCCUGUUUUUCCUUCAGGAAGCUUCGUCCCAGAGG